UAAAUUUAUUUACCAAAAUUAGCAUCGAUGCUAAUAUAAUAUAUACUUAAUAUUUACAUUUUCCAAAUUUGUAUGUCUUCCUAAUCAUAAAUUAUAUUUAUGUCAAAAGUGUAGAUUUAAAAAUGAAGAAUCUUAUUGCUUACAAUUUUCUCUUUUACUCUUAAUAUAAAUCUCUUUCGUCUACACCCAUCUCCUUUAUCCAUACUUAUCUUCUUCAUUCAUACUCAUCUUCAUCCAUAAUUAAUUGCUUUAUUCAUAUACAUGUUCAUACUCAUCUCCU
rnacentral:lncRNA from 1 species